GUGUCAGCAGCCGCGGUAAUACGUAGGUGGCAAGCGUUGUCCGGAUUUACUGGGCGUAAAGGGCGUGCAGGCGGUUUGUUAAGUCUAGGGUGAAAGCUCCCGGCUCAACUGGGAGAGGUCCUUGGAUACUGGCAAACUUGAGGGAUGCAGAGGAAAGUGGAAUUCCCGGUGUAGUGGUGAUAUGCGUAGAUAUCGGGAGGAACACCAGUGGCGAAGGCGGCUUUCUGGGCAUUUCCUGACGCUGAGACGCGAAAGCGUGGGGAGCGAACCGGAUUAGAUACCCGGGUAGUCCACGCCGUAAACGAUGGACACUAGGUGUAGGGGGUAUCGACCCCCUCUGUGCCGCAGCUAACGCAAUAAGUGUCCCGCCUGGGGAGUACGGCCGCAAGGCUAAA
rnacentral:rRNA from 1 species